rnacentral:rRNA from 1 species
CAGCGGAGGGAUCAUUAAAGAGUUCUAUAACUCCCAAACCCAUGUGAACAUACCUAACGUUGCCUCGGCAGGUCGCACCUACCUUGUAGCACCCUACCCUGUAGGGCCUACCCGGGAGGUGCGGGUAAGCCUGCCGGCGGCCCACCAAACUCUGUUUGAUAUUGAAUUCUGAACCUAUAACUAAAUAAGUUAAAACUUUCAACAACGGAUCUCUUGGUUCUGGCAUCGAUGAAGAACGCAGCGAAAUGCGAUAAGUAAUGUGAAUUGCAGAAUUCAGUGAAUCAUCGAAUCUUUGAACGCAUAUUGCGCCCAUUAGUAUUCUAGUGGGCAGGACCGUUCGAGCGUCAUUUCAACCCUUAAGCCUUCGUUGCUUAGUGUUGGGAGCCUACGGCAACGUAGCUCCUCAAAGUUAGUGGCGGAGUUGGUUCACACUCUAGACGUAGUAAUUUUUUAUCUCGCCUAUUAGUUGGACUAAUCCCCUGCCGUAAAACCCCCAAUUUAUAUCAAGGUUGACCUCGAAUCGGUUCAGACAAACUCGCUAAAUUGAAGCAUCUUAGUCAGCGAAGGAAAAGAAACCAACAGGGAUUGCCCUAGUAACGGCGAGUGAAGCGGCAACAGCUCAAAUUUGAAAUCUGGCCCUCGGGUCCGAGUUGUAAUUUGUAGAGGAUGCUUUUGGCGCGGUGCCUUCCGAGUUCCCUGGAACGGGACGCCUUAGAGGGUGAGAGCCCCGUAC